rnacentral:misc_RNA from 1 species
AAUAAUAAUAAUAAUAAUAAUUUUAGACAAAACCAUCUUUCAAUCUUGGGAUGAGAUAUUUCAUGCAAAAAUUUCUGAAAGUUAGGACAUAGAAUCUUGUAUCCAAGUCACCCCCUUAGCAGGAUGGUUCUUUGGCUCAACAAACACUGGGAUAUGGUGAGAGAGUUAUUUAAAACAAUUCCAUAAAAUGAAAGCAUUAAUGGCAUAUACUGAAGAAUAUUAUGCAUAGAGCAUUUACACAGUAUGGUUAGUUCACAGUGUUAUCAAUGAAUGUUCUUUAGACUCCCCCAACAUCUCCUCAGAAGUUUCCUCACAUGCAGAAGGAACAUUAUAUAGUUAAUUGACGCUGCCUAAAAAAGAGUAUCGUACUUUUCUCCCCAGUUUUGUGUUGUUGGUAGAGAGAGAAUCAUAACUAUUAAAUUUUAGACAGACAAUCAUCUAAGAGGAAAGGUCACCUUCCCUAGACUAACCCAAUGGCCCCAUAAAUAGAAUAUGAAUAUUUGUCCUCUAAUGCAGCAUUAUCAGUUAAAAAUAUUGUUAAUAUAUAUCAAAGAUAUGCAAAACAAAUUCCAAAAUCUGCACACCUGAGCUUGGAGAAGGAGCUUCUCGGGACAUGUGCUCUGAUGAUGUACCAGCAUGAUCCCCCUUUUCAAACUCUAAGGAAGAUGAGUGAGCGGCAGAUGGUGAUGCUAGAUCUUGGAAACCCGAAAUAGAGGAUCCUUUACCAGUCUCCACCUGAUUAAAAUCAUGACCUUUUGAUUCAUCUGGAUCCUCAAAAACAGAUGAACGCUGUUCAAAAUACGGUGAAUCCAAAAUUAUCUCUGGCUGUCGACUUAAAAAGUUCAAACGGAUGUCACACUGGACGAGCUUUUCAAAAUGUUUAUUUAACAGCCCCUGUGGACAUUGCAGAAAAUGUUGCCUACAGGACCAAAAAAGUAUAUUUUUAUGUCAGUAUACUAUCAUUGCUCAUUGCUACAUAAUAGCUGUAUCUUCUUAAGUAAAUUGCCAAAAGAAGUGAAUCCUCAAAGCAGUCCCUGAUGAUGAAUUUUAGAAUUCAAUGUACUCCAAAGGCUUAUCCUAUUAUGGAUGAAAUAGAUGGCUAAUAGGUAAAUGAAUGAAAAAACAAAAAAACUUGGGAAGGAAUAAUUAUAACAGAAGGUUCUCAGUUAAAAACAAAUAUAAUCAGCAAAAACGGCUGCCUGCAGAAUUUAGAAGAUGGAGCAUAUUAGAAACAAGAAUAAAAAGAAAGCAAUAACAGAUUCGCCCAGACAAGGUCUCCAAUCAGUAAGAAAGGAAAAUUUAAUAAUCAUACCUGUGUAUGCUAGCCUGUCCAUUAGUAAAAUCG